rnacentral:lncRNA from 1 species
AAGGACGUCUGCGCACUAAGAUACUCAGUUCCAAGUUUGGAGCUUUUAGCUGCCAGCCCUGGCCCAUCAUGUAGCUGCAGCACAGCCUUCCCUAACGUUGCAACUGGGGGAAAAAUCACUUUCCAGUCUGUUUUGCAAGGUGUGCAUUUCCACCUUGAUUCUCUGAAAGUCCAUCUGCUGCAUCGGUCAAGAGAAACUCCACUUGCAUGAAGAUUGCACGCCUGCAGCUUGCAUCUUUGUUGCAAAACUAGCUACAGAAGAGAAGCAAGGCAAAGUCUUUUGUGCUCCCCUCCCCCAUCAAAGGAAAGGGGAAAAUGUCUCAGUCGAAAGGCAAGAAGAGAAACCCUGGCCUUAAAAUUCCAAAAGAAGCAUUUGAACAACCUCAGACCAGUUCCACGUAAGUUGGCACAAUUAUCGUCUUAACUCAAGCAUGGGGACUUAGCC